UCAUAGGUCUUCUUUGGAGCCUCUGAUUCCUUGAGACCCAGGAAGGAUGCCUCACCAUCCGCAUCCACAUCCACAUCCACAUCCACAGCAGCAGCAGCAUCAGCAUCACCAUCAGUGCAAGGAGCCCUGCCAUCCACCUCCAAAAGUGUGCCCACCGAAGUGCCAUGAGCCUUGCCCACCCCAUCCAUGCCCACCUCCAGUGAGCCAGCAGAAAUGCCCUCCUGGGCCACCAUGCCCACCAUGGGAGCAGAAGUGUCCACCCAAGUGGAAGUAACAGCACCAUGUUCCAGGCUCUUCCAUUGUCCUUCUUUCGGCCAUGGUGAUGGGUUGCGACUUCCUUAAUCUCCCUCCUGGACUGCCAGCUGACAGAGAAAAGCCUUGGUUCCUGAAUCUGACACCACGUUUGUGGAAGAGCAGUAGGAUCAUUGCUUGAUCUCUCUUUGCCAUCUGUGUGUCUGUAUCCAUGUUGCAAUCUCUACCCCAUGAGCAAAUGGUGUGUUUAUUCCUUUGCUUCUCCAAUAAAGCAUAUUCAUAGCCCAUUAGUAUUGCUUUCUUUCUUUCUUUUUCUUUUUGCAUAUAGUGUUUUUCAUCUCUUCUGUCAG
ensembl:lncRNA